rnacentral:rRNA from 1 species
UACGGGAGGCAGCAGUGGGGAAUAUUGCACAAUGGGCGAAAGCCUGAUGCAGCAACGCCGCGUGAGCGAUGAAGGCCUUUGGGUCGUAAAGCUCUGUCCUUGGGGAAGAAAAAAAUGACGGUACCCUUGGAGGAAGCCCCGGCUAACUACGUGCCAGCAGCCGCGGCAAUACGUAGGGGGCAAGCGUUAUCCGGAAUUAUUGGGCGUAAAGAGUGCGUAGGUGGUUUUGUAAGCGCGGGGUGAAAGGCUAUGGCUCAACCAUAGUAAGCCUUGCGAACUGUAAGACUUGAGUGCAGGAGAGGAAAGCGGAAUUCCUAGUGUAGCGGUGAAAUGCGUAGAUAUUAGGAGGAACACCAGUGGCGAAGGCGGCUUUCUGGACUGUAACUGACACUGAGGCACGAAAGCGUGGGGAGCAAACAGGAUUAGAUACCCUGGUAGUCCACGCCGUAAACGAUGAGCACUAGGUGUCGGGGCCGCAAGGUUUCGGUGCCGCAGUUAACGCAUUAAGUGCUCCGCCUGGGGAGUACGCACGCAAGUGUGAAACUCAAAGGAAUUGACGG